AUGAUGGAGGUUGUUUGCAACAACUGUCUGGGCUUCAGGUCCAUGUUAAAUGCAACAUAGAUGACGCCACUGGAGACCUUAAGAGACCGUAAGAAGCUGAUUGCAGCCCAAGCUGUCACCCAUUGUAAAAAGAUUAUCCUGAAGAAAUGGUACAUGAUUUUUAGGGACCACACGAUACUGGGGGACCAUGAAAUCCAUGAUGGGAUGGACCUGGAGCUUUAUUUUCAAUAG
rnacentral:lncRNA from 1 species